UACGAAGGGGGCUAGCGUUGCUCGGAAUCACUGGGCGUAAAGCGCACGUAGGCGGAUUGUUAAGUCAGGGGUGAAAUCCUGGAGCUCAACUCCAGAACUGCCUUUGAUACUGGCGAUCUCGAGUCCGGGAGAGGUGAGUGGAACUGCUAGUGUAGAGGUGAAAUUCGUAGAUAUUCGCAAGAACACCAGUGGCGAAGGCGGCUCACUGGCCCGGUACUGACGCUGAGGUGCGAAAGCGUGGGGAGCAAACAGG
rnacentral:rRNA from 1 species